AAUAUUGCUAAUUCCUUGAUCAUCUGAUACAAAAAAAACUAAAACAAUGAUUACAUAAUGAAAAGUAUUUCUCCUAAAGCUUGCAACAGUAGUUUGCAGUUUAAUUUCGAGUAUUAAACAUGUUUUGUAUCCAUGCAACUGGUUAAUGUUUGAUUAAGGAAAUAUGAUAUUUAUUCAUAAAAAUCUUGUAAUACCCCAUAAUAUCCUAUCAAUCUCAAACCUGUAAAACUGCCAGUUGUAUCAGCUAAUUCCAAGCUAAAUCAGAGCAGACCGGUUGUUAUUUGUACACAACAAUUAAGUAAUUAUUUUUUUGUUCUUGUUAAAGUAUUAUUUUAAUACGGUUUUAUGAUUUUAAUUUCUGAAUAAAUUCCACAUAGUCAAAAAUUCGGUUAAAACUUCAUUUUCAAAAUGUUUAGCGGUUUGCAACCUUCUACAAAGUUGUUUCUUGUCUUAUUUUGCACAUUUUGAUGAGUAAAUGACACAUGAAACACAUCAUUUGACAAGUUUCCUGGACUGUUAUUUAAAAAUUUCCAAUAAAUGAUUAAGGAUUUUAAAACAAAAAACUUAAAAUAUAGAUAGGGUAUAUGGCCCUAUUUUGGACCUACUAUGCAAAGCGUCAACAUAUUUCGCAUGGUUCUCAAGAACGGUCUAACUAAUUUGGCUCGUUUCAGGAUUGUUUUGUGCCUUAAUUUAUGCUUAACAAAGUGUACUAUUGAAAAUUGAAAAUAAUUUAACCAUUUCAUUGUAAUAAGCAUUUCAAGUAAAACAUUUUUUGGAUGCUUUUUGGACUUAUUGAAUGUAUUUUGGAGACAUCGCUGAACCUAUUUUGGACCCACACUCUGAUUGGUUGAAAUUUGGCCAACUCGAAUUGCGGCGUGCGACGGCAACACGCACACUUACAAAAACUCGGUUUGAUAAACCAAAGGGCCUAUCCACGAUUAUAAUUUGGAAAAUAUUUAUUUCAGAAAUUAAAUAAUUAUGAUAAAACAAUGGAUUUGAAUUUGAAAACGUGUUUUAAUUAUAUUGAAUGGAAACUCACGCAUCUUUAGCAGCCUGAACUACCUCGAUUAAUAAAAAUAGGUCCAAAAUAGGUACUAGGUCCAAAAUAGGGUCAUAUACCCUA